CUUAAUCUAGUUUAUAAAAAACAGUAGUUUGUCAAACUGCAAAAACAAAGAAAUAUAGUUUGUGUUUGAGU
rnacentral:tRNA from 2 species